CUGUUUUGUCUGUCAAAAAGGCUUGCUAGUCUUUUUCAGAAAAUCCACGAUUUCCAGCUGUGUAAUAACAUGACCAGAAACACGAGUUCAGUCUUAUGGUUGUUCAGAAGCGUAUGUUUUACAUCCCUGGACAUCGCUGAGGAUGACUUCAGUCCCUUUAAUCUGGUUCAACAUCUGGAUGUGCGUACACAGUGAACUGAUUCAAUACCUGGAUCAGCCAACUGGUUAAGCAUCUGGAAGUGAACUGGUUCAAUGUCUGAAUAUGUACACAGUGGACCUGUUCAACAUCUGGAUCGGCAAACUGGUUUAACACCUCGAUGUUUUGACAGUUUAAUGAUUCUGCAUCGAAAUGGAAGGAUAUAUUUGAUCAUCAAGAUUAAAUCUAGAAAAAUAAAUUCUUCAAUUGAAAAUCCGAAAUAAAGUCUGCAGUAACAGCCUUAUUUACAAUUAUGUAUACAAUUACAAAAACUAGAAACACUUUUUUAUGCCCGGUGGAAUAAAAUUGAUUCAAAUAAUAUUGAUUGUAUGCAAUUUGUGUCAGGUAUGUGACAUGAUACCAUCUUGGUACUACGCUAAGUAGUACAAGUCUACCAGCUAGUUAUUAUGCUAUACAAUACUUAGGCAAACUAGCUGUGGGUUAGCAUCUACACAAUCUCUUCUGCUAGCUAGUUGAGGGUUAGCAUGGUUCUAGUUAUGUAUAUUGUACGGAUCUACAUAAUAACAAUCCCUUUUAAAGCACAUUUUGAUGAUUUGUUUGUUUGGGUAUUAACCAUAUGGCUUGCUGUGAGUUUUCACUCCACACACUGGAGGACGAGAUGGCAGUUCCUCCUUCCUCCUCUUCCUCCUCUUCCUCCGCUGAAGAUCCUGUUCAGGCUGUCAGUCCCAGGAUAUGGUUAAUAUGUCCCUGAGGAAAACAGAACCAGCCUCGUUCAAUACACAUUACUCGUAGUCUUUAACACAGAGUUGAACAAUUACCUUUAAUAGGUCAAUUUGUACCUUUUAGUCCAUCAAUAUAAAUCGGGUGAUGUGCUUUGUGCCGAUUGUCCUGAAUGUUAUUGCUUU
ensembl:lncRNA